UGCAUGCAGACUGCUUAUGAAAAGUGAUGACCUUUUUUUUAGUUCGGUGUGUUAAUAAUUAUUAUUAGCGCAUGCUCACUGUUUCGAAGAAGUGACGACCUUUUUUUUAACAGUCCUUGACCCGCUCAGAGCCCUGGAACCCCCCUUUCAAGAAUCCUAGAUCCGCCACUGCUCUUGAGCACCCCCUGCCUCAAUCUCUAGAAACGCCCAUGAACAAAGGACCCUAGCAGUGAAGGCUGCGAUGAAAAGUAGGAAUUACCUGUGGGGUGAAAAAUAUGCUUUGGGUAUACAUGUAAUUAUCUGACUAGUCUAUAUACAUGUACAAAUCAGAGAUACCAAAAUUUCGGUAUUACUAUGCUGUACAAACGUUUAUUGUCCUGAUUAGUCUAACGUAGCAUUAUUCCAAUGAAGCAUAAUUAUAGCUACUCAAGCAAAAGAAGCAAUCCUAUUCGAAAGUACCUUUUGUUAGUGCAUAUUCAUUAAAUAUUCACACAGCUCAAAAUCAAUAUGAACGUUUUAACUUUCCCGAACCAUACGAAAAUACAUAUGUUAUAUACAUAUACUAUAUACGGUAGUGACUUCAGGUAUACAAAGAAGGAGCCGCUGCUCCACAGAAAAUAAAAGCUACUUUAAGAUUCCUAUCAUAAAACAGAAACCAAAGCUACGAUGUCGUACUAUAUAUACUUACAACAAAUCAUAUCAACCACCAACACAUGCAAUUAAGUGUAAUUGUGUUGAUGUUAUUAUACUACCAAUUCUCAAGUAGGUGCAUGGUUGUAUAAACACACAAAGUAAACCGUAAUGCGCUAAACACGAAAGUGUAAGUGGAACAAUUAUAGUUAUAUGGAGGUGGCCCAGAACUUACAUUCGGGAAAGUAUAAAGGCAUGCAAUCCAAUUAAAUCCAAUACAAGAGUUAAUCUACAACUUUACUGGUUUUGAGAUCAACGUACAAUGCAAUUGCUACUAUUUGCUGUUGUGCUGGCUGUAACACAUCAAGGACACUGCUUUACAGACUUCAGACAAGACUGGGACAAUAUUUUGUAUGUCAGAUCAGACAAUGGAUUGAACACGAUAUGCCCAAGGCAACCAUGUGAGACACUGGACCAUUACGCAAACGUAAGUCAUUUGAACAACACAAAGUUCAUGUUCAUGCCAGGAUUGCACACUCUCAGUAAAAACUUUCGUAUUGACUCUCUUAUGAAUAUUGAACUCGAUAGUAUGAAGGAUAGCAGAAAUGAGACAGAGAUUGUAAAAAUUCAGUGUUAUAAAGCAGCAGGAUUUAUGUUUAAAAACAUAAACUUUAUCACUAUCAAAAAUCUGCAAAUCUCUGCAUGUGGUCAAAAUAUACCAGUUAGUACUUACAGCGAAUUAGGGCACUUUCAAGCGGCAGUUGCUCUUAAGGAUGUAACUGCUCUAACAAUGCAAUCGAUAACCAUUCGCGACAGUAAUGGAUACGGGAUAGCUGCUGAGGGACUGUAUGGAUACUCAAUAAUGGAGGACUGCCUACUGGUGAACAACACUGGUAGCGAAAAAUUCUUUGGGGGUAAUUUUGUACUAAAAUACUAUGAAGAUUGUCCAAGUAUUGACACAAACGAGCGGAUUUAUGUGAGAAUUAUGAGAUGUAAAUUUUUGAAUGGAAGUGCACAACAUAUCAAACAUGACUCAUAUACCAAAUGUCAAACCAAAGCAACUGGCAUAUCUUUGUUUCUUUCGUGCACAAAUGUUACUAUUCACAUGUCAGAGGUGCAACUAAAAUACAAUAAAGCAUACAGCUUUUCCAGUAAAGGAGGAAACCUUUUCAUUCUGCUCGGAAACGCCAAACAAUAUACGAGCAAUACGGUCAUUGUGGAGAAUAGUAACGUUGUCAAGGGAACAGCAGUUAUGGGUGGAGGAGCAUACGUUAGAUUCAAGCAGCCUCCCCAAGAACCUGACAACAUAACAGUUGCAUGCGAAAACUAUGUUAGUUUUAGAAAUGUAAACUUUACUAGUAACAGUGGUAAAGUUAGAGGAGGUGCUCUGUACAUAUUGUUCGAAACAGCGAGCAUGUACAAGUCUUGUCCUAAAGGAACUGUUGAAAUAGACGGCUGUUACUUUGUAGACAAUAUUUUAAAUGCUUCCGAAGCAGACAGUGGUCUAGCUAUCAACAUAUAUUGCUAUCUGAUUAACGGAGUGGAAGCAACAUCUCUUCCUUUCAAUACAGUUAUCAUUGCUCGAAGUCACUUUCUGAGAAACAAACUAUUAACGCAGACAGAAAAUAGUCAAGAUCUAAUUUCCGGAGGAGCUACUGUCUUCAUUAGUAAACAGAGAAGACAAACAUUUAUCAAUGACUCUAGCUUUGUAAAUAACAGCAUAACGGCCAUUUCUGCUUUCAGAUCAAAUAUUGUGUUCAGUGGCAUUGUGACCAUAACAAAUAAUACAGGCCUUGAUGGUGGGGGCCUAGUUCUCUGUCAAAGUUCGUACAUUUUGUUCAGCCCAAAUACCACUGUGACAUUUGAAAAUAACAAAGCUAUUUUAUCUGGAGGAGGCAUAUACGCAGAAGAUCAGUGCUUACAAUCUAAGCCACUGUGUUUUUAUCAAGUGCACAUUGCUAGCAAUUCGUUACCUAGACAUCAAAAGAAGCAAAUAUUGGACACCAUUCAUGUGGUAAUGAUCAACAACACUGCUGGAUACGCUGGAAGUCAGAUAUUUGGAGGGUUUAUGGAUAAAUGCCAUACAACAUUUGGCAUCAGGAGUACGCUAGUUUACAAAAAAAUUUUUAAUGAAGUUUCAUGGCAAUGGAAUAAAUCUAAUCUCUCCUAUGUGACCUCAUUUCCAAAACAUAUUUGCUUUUGUGCAGGAAAAAAAAUUAAUUGUGAAAAAAACAACAAAAGUAUCCAUCAAACCAUAUAUCCAGGUCAAUUGUUCGAUGUGUCUCUUGUUGCUGUGGGACAAUUUAACAAUCCUGUUCCAGCUACUAUCUUGAUCUUGGCCAACAUCUCAAGAGGGAAACCUUACCAUCAUACUAUCAAAGCUGAAUGCAGUACCAUAACACUGACAUCAGGACAAAAUACUACUACAAGAGAGGGAAAAGUAGUAAUUCUCAUACAAUCAGACUCUGGUGCCCUAGGAGGAACUUACUUACGAUCGAUAAACAUAACAUAUCGAAACUGUCCAUUGGGAACUGUAAUAAAUAAAACAACUGGCUUUUGUUAUUGGUCUUCCGAAGACAGUACUUAUAACGCUAGUGACCAAACUAUUCAAAAACCAGGCUUAACAUGGAUAGGUUACCAUAACGAUACUGAUACUGACUCCAAAAUUGGAAAUGGUUUCAUAAAGUUUUCAUACUGUCCACAGCUGUAUUGUGACUAUAAUGUAACAUCUAUAAACAUCAGUGAAACAUUCGAUCCAGAUCAGCAAUGUCGAAGAGACAGAACCGGAAUUUUAUGUGGAGCGUGUAGGACGCCAUACAGCUCAGCCAUAAGUUCAACCAAGUGUGUCCAGUGUUCAGACCAUAGUAUUACAUACCGGCUUCUCCUUCUGCUAGGCCCUCUAGUGGUUGCAGUUCUAGCUCUGCUCUUCAUGCUUUGGUGUAAUGUGACCAUCACAGACGGAACAAUAAAUGGAUUCCUAUUCUACACUAGUAUGUUUCAUGUUAGCGAGGAAUUAUUCUUACAUCCUUUGCAAUGGUCUUCUGCCUUAUCCAGCCUGGUGGCUUGGUUCAACUUGUAUAUAGGCAUGAGUGUGUGCUUUUACAAUGGUUUCGAUGUUUUUGGACAAGUCAUCUUGAAUUUGUUUGUCCCUCUAUUUGUUUGGAUAGGAUUAGGACUACUGAUUCUUAUUAGCUCAAAAUCAAGUCGGAUUACUCGAUUUGUUGGUAAGAAUGCUGUGAAAGUGCUGGCUACAAUCAUACUACUUUCCUACACCACAAUUCUUCAAGCUGAAGUGGCUGUGUUUUCCUGCUCAACGAUACAAUAUCCUAAUGUUGUAUCUAUUAAUUGUCUUCACUUUGACAUAGAUAAAUAUUCUUGGGGUAGAAUAGAACACACCGAGCACAGUACAGAACCUUCUUAUAUAUACAAAGCUAAAGUAACUUCUAGAAGUUUCCACUAAGUACAAAGUACAGUUCCAAUUCUAGCUAGAUUGUUCUAGAUCAUUACAGAUACAUUACAGCUACUUCUAGAUAGUUCCGGUGGAUACUACAUUCCUCCACCCUUAGAUUGAAGGUUCAUCUGUGGUGGGAAUUGAAUAUCCGUAACGUUCCGGUUGUCUAUGACCUCUAGUAGAUCGUCUGAGAGGCUCUUGAGCUUGAAGUUGCUCUUCUUCUUGUGAAUCUUCUGGUUGAGCUGGUUCUUCUUGGUUUUGUGAUUCUUCUGGCUGAGCUGGUGAUGAGGGUAUGUCUAUCUCAUCGGGCAUUUCUUCUUCAGUUUGCUGCGGUUCAUCGGAGGAUGAAGAGCGACUUCGAACAUGAUCCACAUGUCUCCUAACUAGUCGUUCGUCUUCUAGUCUCACUCCGUACGUAAGAUUUCCUUGUUUCGAUACAAUCACUCCAGGCGUCCAUGGUGAAUUGGUACCUGCUUCUCUAACAUACACUUUGUCUUGUGGGAAGAAUGAGCGUUCUUUCACUCUGACGUCAUGAGAUGACUUCUGCGAGAGCUGUUUGUUUUCUACCUUAGCUCUGAUGUUUGGCCUUAACAAGUCCAAGCAUGUUCGGAGGGAACGUCCCAUGAGUAGUUCUGCUGGAGUCUGGCCAGUUGUAGAAUGAGGCGUUGUUCGAUAAUGAAACAAAAAACGAGCUAGUUUGGUACUUAACUCUCCAGAUCUACUUUUCUUCAUUGCUCUCUUGAAAGUCUGGACUGCUCUUUCUGCAAGACCAUUGGUUGAUGGAUGGUAUGGUGCAGAUAGAUGUUAAGUGACGAAUUCCAUUGCUCUUGGUAAAUGUCUUGAACUCGAAACUUGUAAAUGGAGUGCCAUUAUCAGACACUAUGACUUCGGGUAUCCCGUGGGUAGAGAACACUUGCCUAAGUGCUGUAACUGUCUGAGUGGAGUUGGCAGACGACACAGGCAUAACUUCUAACCAUUUUGAGUAAGCAUCCACAAUUACGAGAAACAUUUUCCCGAUAAAUGGUCCAGCGUAGUCGAUGUGUAGUCUUGUCCAUGGCGUCUUUGGCCAUUCCCAAGGAUGUAAAGGGGCAAUUGGAGGAGACUUUUGGUGAAGUGCACACAUCUCGCACGUUUUUACCUUGUUUUCGAUAUCCGAAUCGAUUCCUGGCCACCAAACGACACUUCUUGCUAGUAGCUUCAUCUUUGUUAUUCCUGGAUGUCCAUCGUGUAGAAUUUCUAAGGUCUUGUUUCUGCCUUCUUCUGGAACAACAACUCUUUCUCCCCGCAGCACACAAGAAUCCUGUACACUUAAUUCCUUGUGACAUUUUUGGUAGGGUUGCAACUUCUCGUCAUCUGAGAAUUUCCAUCCUGACAACACUAAUCUUCUGACUUUAGACAUUACUGGAUCGUGGUCUGUCCAGAAGCGGAUUUUCUUGGAAUCGACUGGUGCACUAUGAAGAGUUUCCAUUAAAAGAACUGUUUCUCCUGGCAGACUCGCUUCUUUCACUGUCUCUGGAAGAGGUAGGCGGCUUAGGACAUCUGCGUUGCCAUGUUGUUGUCCUGGUCGGUAUUCGAUCUUGUAAUCGUACGCACUGAGAAUCAGAGCCCAUCUCUUAAUCCUGGCAGAUGCCAACACCGGUAUCGGCUUGUUUUCACUGAGUAGGUGUUGCAGUGGUUUGUGAUCAGAGAGAAUGAUGAAUUUUCGACCUUGUAGAUACUGCUGGAACUUCUUUACUCCAAAUACAAUUGAGAGUGCUUCUUUGUCCAAUUGGGCAUAUUUUCUUUCAGCCGGUGCCAAUGAUCUGCUGGCAAAAGCUAUUGGCUUCUCACUUCCGUCAUCCAGUCUGUGUGAAAUAACUGCUCCUAACCCAUAAGGUGAGGCGUCACAUGAUAGCAACAGGGUCUUUUCGGGGUUGUAGUGUGUGAGUACAUUCGUAGACGUCAGUUGCUGCUUAGCUUCCUUGAAUGCUAACUCCUGUUCUUUUCCCCAUGUCCACUUCACUUCCUUCUGCAGGAGCUUGUUCAGUGGUGCCAGCUUACUGGACAGAUUGGAUAAGAACUUUCGAUAAUAACUGAUAGCGCCCAGGAAAGAUCUCAAUUGUUGGAGAUUGUUGGGAGCUGGUGCUUCAAGUAGAGCUCGAACCUUCUCUUGGCUAGGUUGUAUGCCUUUAGCUGAGAUGACGUUACCCAAAUACUGAAUACUUGGUAGCAUAAAGGCUGAUUUGGCAGGGUUGAGUCGGAGAUCUGCUUGUUCCAAUCGUGUGAGUACCUUGUCCAGGUUUUGCAGAUGCUCUUGUUCUGUUUUUCCGGUGACAACAAUGUCAUCAAUGUAAGCUGCUACUCCAUCGAGACCGCUCAAGACUCCAUCCAUAACUCUCUGGAAUAUGGAAGGUGCUGAAGAAAUACCGAACGGAAGUCGAGUAUACUGGAAAAGACCUUUGCUCGUGUUGAUAGUUGUGAACUUCUUGGACUCGGUAUCAAGUGAGACUUGCUGAAAAGCGUUAGAUAAGUCGAGUUUAGAGUAUGUUUUACCUCCUUCCAGCUGAGAGAAUAGAUCUUCAAUCCUGGGUAAUGGGUACUUGUCUAGCUUCGAUGCAGAGUUGACUGUCACUUUGUAGUCGCUGCAUAUACGAAGAGAUCCAUUGGGCUUGAUCACAGAAACAAUGGGUGCAGCCCAUUCAGAAAACUCUACAGGCUCGAUGACGCCUUCAUUCUGAAGUCGGUCUAGUUCGGCAUUGACCUUUCCCUCAGAGCAUAGGCUACAGGCCUUGCCUUGCAGAAUCUCGGUGAUGAGGCAGGGUCAACAUGAAUCUUUGCUGAAUAACUUUUGACUAGUCCAAGUCCUUCCUUGAAAACAUUGGGAUGUUUCGCAAUAACAGCUUUCAGUGUGUGUUCCUCUUCCACUUUGUGCACUAACUUGUUCCAGUUUAGGCGGAUUUUUUUCAUCCAGUCUUUUCCAAGUAGACUUGGACCAUUUCCAACGACUACUAGAAGAGGAAGCUGCUCCUUUUGACUCUCGUAAACCACUUCAAUCGUCGUGGUUCCCUGUACCUUGAUGAUUUCUCCCGAGUAAGUACGUAACUUGACAUUUGUAUUCUUCAGUGGAGGUAAACGACCUCGCCAGAGUUUCUUGUAAGUAGCUUCACUGAUGAUGGAAGCUGAAGCUCCGGUGUCCACUUCCAUUUCAAGGUCAGCUUGAUUUGCUUUCACGGUAACAGUGAUCGGCUCAGUAGUGUUCGUUCUUGUACAAUGUAGGAGUAGAAUUUCAUCUUCAGUUCCUUCUGACUCACUUUGUUCCUGACUGACUCUAUGAGUUGACUUGCUUUUUGUCUUAGAGCGACAUACUCGAGCGAUGUGUCCUUUCUUCUUGCAUUCACGACACUCAGCUUCUCGGAAUCGACAAUCCCUUUGGGCAUGGUUUCCUCCACAGCGGUAGCAAGGUCCAAACGUUUUGCUCUUGCUUUCCUUUUGACUUGUUUUAGAGUGCUGGACUUUGUGUAGAGCUUCAGUGUUCUGUGUCUUGCUUGCUUGGAGUUCUUGAGAGUUGCGAGUUGCUGCCUCUGCCGCUAAUGCUAAUUCCAUAGCUUUUUGAAGGGUGAGAUUUGUUUCUGAGAGUAAACGCUGUUGAAUCCUCCUAUCUCUGACUCCACAAACGAGUCUAUCUCUAAGCAUGUCAUCCAGAAUAGCUUCGUAUUUGCAGUGCUCAGAGAGUCUUCUCAGGCUGGCCAUGAAUGCUGAAAUUGUCUCUCCUUCUUUCUGGCUUCGCAUAUUAAAAUUGUAUCGCUGCACGAUGAACGAUGGUGGAGGCUGGUGGUGUUCUUUCACGAGUUGUACUACCUCUUGGAAAGUCUUGGUGCUUGGCCGUUCUGGAGCCACUAAGUCUCUGAUCAGUUGAUACGUUGAUGCUCCACAUACACUCAGUAAUAUAGCCCUCUGCUUCUCUGCAGCGUCGACAUCAUUCGCCUGAAAAUACUGCUCUAGUCUUUCAGUGUAGGAUAUCCAGUCUUCUUUGUCUGGACAGAAUUCUCCAAAAGCGCCAUGCUGGGUAGCCAUAGCUUCUUCUUGUCUUCUGAGUUAAUCCUCGUCGCCAAUUGUUGUAUCUAUUAAUUGUCUUCACUUUGACAUAGAUAAAUAUUCUUGGGGUAGAAUAGAACACACCGAGCACAGUACAGAACCUUCUUAUAUAUACAAAGCUAAAGUAACUUCUAGAAGUUUCCACUAAGUACAAAGUACAGUUCCAAUUCUAGCUAGAUUGUUCUAGAUCAUUACAGAUACAUUACAGCUACUUCUAGAUAGUUCCGGUGGAUACUACACCUAACAAUACCAGUAAGCAACACUGGUUACCCGACGGUAAUGUAUUGUGUUGGCAAGGGAAGCACCUAGCUCUGGUGGUGAUUGGUGUUUUGUUUGGAAUAGCUACUGUUCUGUAUACUAUAAUGCUCCUUUAUUCAACCAUUGCAAAGAUAUUCUCAUGUGAGGGGACUGAGAUGGGUGGCUAAACUAAAGCCAUUUUUGACGCUUACACUAGCCCUCAUGUGAUCAAGCAUCGCUAUCGAUUCUGGACUGGGCUGUUACUCUUAUUUAGAAUGAUUAGUAGUAUUUGGUUUGCUGUUACCUCAAAGAACAACGAGUACAAGGACUAUGGGGUAGCAUUGACAGUAAUAUGCAUCCUUAUUUUGAGUAUUAUUGUUUUUCUUGGAGGAAUCUACAAACAACAGUGGUUGAAUAUUCUUAAUGCUUCGUUUUACACAAAUCUAACCAUUUUGUCAUUUUUUUCAUUUUAUUCGGCUACAAGACAACCUGAAUUUAGUGGAAGAGGCAACGAAACACAAAUCACUGCCACUUACACUUCACUAGUCAUAGCCUUUGUGACGUUUCUGUUCAUUCUCGCCUACCAUGUGUACAAACGUCUGAAAGAGACCAGUCUGCUCGCUCGCUGUGUGGGAAGUAUUCAGGGGACUCGAUGUUGGAGAGCAGCUGUCGAACACUGGAACAGAGGCAGGAUACAAUACGUAAGGCUGCCCCAAGAAGACCCUCAGGUUCAAGAAAUGAACAAUGAUUUCAAUGGCGAAAGACAGCUCGACGAGAAUUAUAACUGGGAGAGAGAGCUAGAUGUACAAGACAGAGAGCUCAAUUCUGAAGAUGAUCAUGUUCCAAAACCUGAUUCACAAGAAGAAAGCUGCGAGCCAAGAUCAAGUGAAGAAACCAAUUAAAGUUUAUUUAGAUACAUUGUAGCUAUCCAUACACACUUGUGUGAAAUACUGCAUUAGACAUAAAAAACAGAAAGUACUUACUAGUAUAAACAUUUCAUAAUGUAAAUGAUACACAUUGCAACAACAUUGCAAAGUGCAUAUACUUGACAAUGACUAAUAAUUAUAUUGAAAGAUAUGCCAAACUAUAAUAUUAUUGUGCCUAAAAGUCCACAUUGUCAAACAAAGACGCUGUACAAACAUGACUUCACUAGUGGUCCUGGUUGAUUGCACUUCAAGUUUUAACUUCUGCCAACCAACUUGAAAUCCUCUGUAUUGCAGGUACCAUUAUUAGAUCAAACAUGUUAUCAGUCACACAUGUACAGAGCACUUAACACAUUACAAACAAGGAGUGUGGUUAAGAUGUUAGUGAAUCCGCAAAAAAGGACCGCAAUACUAUUCAGAUUAAGACCAGGAAGACGCUCCAUCCCCUCAUCUGCUCUUGACCGUAUACAUGUAUAUAGGGUGUAAAUUUGGCGAGGAAAUGAAGAUGUACAAGAGAGAGAGCAUUCUGAAGAUAAUCAUGUCCACAAGAUCUAAUUCACGAGGAGAAAACAGUGAGCCAAGAUCAAGUGAAGAUACCAACUGAGAAACUAAAGAUACAUUGUAGCUAUAUCUAGAGAGUGUAGACACAUUUGUGUCAAGUACUGCAUUAUAGAAAUAGAAAUAGAAAACAAAAUGUACUUGCAAGUAUAUACAUAAUGUAAAUUGCAACAAUAUUGCAAA